rnacentral:rRNA from 1 species
CCCGGGCGACCGGCGCACGGGUGAGUAACGCGUAUGCAACCUGCCCGUUUCAGCGGGAUAACCCGGAGAAAUCCGGCCUAAUACCGCAUGUGGCCGAGGGGAGGCAUCUUCUUUCGGCCAAAGGAGGCAACUCCGGAGACGGAUGGGCAUGCGUGACAUUAGCUUGUUGGCGGGGUAACGGCCCACCAAGGCGACGAUGUCUAGGGGUUCUGAGAGGAAGGUCCCCCACACUGGUACUGAGACACGGACCAGACUCCUACGGGAGGCAGCAG